rnacentral:rRNA from 1 species
AAGUUGAAUCAUGCUCAGGAUGAACGCUGGCGGCGUGCCUAAUACAUGCAAGUCGAGCGAACGGACGAGAAGCUUGCUUCUCUGAUGUUAGCGGCGGACGGGUGAGUAACACGUGGAUAACCUACCUAUAAGACUGGGAUAACUUCGGGAAACCGGAGCUAAUACCGGAUAAUAUUUUGAACCGCAUGGUUCAAAAGUGAAAGMCGGUCUUGCUGUCACUUAUAGAUGGAUCCGCGCUGCAUUAGCUAGUUGGUAAGGUAACGGCUUACCAAGGCAACGAUGCAUAGCCGMCCUGAGAGGGUGAUCGGCCACACUGGAACUGAGACACGGUCCAGACUCCUACGGGAGGCASCAGUAGGGAAUCUUCCSCAAUGGGCGAAASCCUGACGGAGCAACGCCGCGUGAGUGAUGAAGGUCUUCGGAUCGUAAAACUCUGUUAUUAGGGAAGAACAUAUGUGUAAGUAACUGUGCMCAUCUUGACGGUMCCUAAUCAGAAAGCCACGGCUAACUACGUGCCASCAGCCGCGGUAAUACGUAGGUGGCAAGCGUUAUCCGGAAUUAUUGGGCGUAAAGCGCGCGUAGGCGGUUUUUUAAGUCUGAUGUGAAAGCCCMCGGCUCAMCCGUGGAGGGUCAUUGGAAACUGGAAAACUUGAGUSCAGAAGAGGAAAGUGGAAUUCCAUGUGUAGCGGUGAAAUGCSCAGAGAUAUGGAGGAMCMCCAGUGGSGAAGGCGACUUUYUGGUCUGUAACUGACGCUGAUGUGCGAAAGCGUGGGGAUCAAMCAGGAUUAGAUACCCUGGUAGUCCMCSCCGUAAACGAUGAGUGCUAAGUGUUAGGGGGUUUCCGCCCCUUAGUGCUGCAGCUAACGCAUUAAGCACUCCGCCUGGGAG